rnacentral:lncRNA from 1 species
AGCUGAGCUGCGAGCCUAUAGGGCUGAGCUGUGCAUCUGUGGGGCUGAGCUGUGCGUCUGUGGGGCUGAGCUGUGAGCCUAUGUGAUUGAAUCUAUGGGGUCUAUGAGCUGUGCUGUGAGCCCAUGGGGCCAUGAACAGUCUAUGGGGCUGUGCUGGGCUGCGAGAUUAUGGGGCUGUGCACUGUGAGUCUAUGGGGCUGUGCUGCACGCUUAUGGGGCCGAAUGCUGUGAGCCUGUGGGGCUGCGCUGUGAGCCCAUAGGGCUGUGCGCUGUGAGUCUAUGGGGCUGUGCUGUGAGUCUAUAGGGCCACGCACUAUGAACUUUUGGGGCUGUGCUGUGAGCCCGUAGGGCCGUGCACUGUGAGUUUAUAGGGCUGUGCACUGUGAGUCUAUAGGGCUGUGCUGUGAGCCUGUGGGGCCAUGUGCUGCGAAUCUAUAGGGCUAUAGAGUGAGCCUAUGGGGUGUGCUCUGAGCCCAUGGGGCCGUGCACUGUAAGUCUAUAGGGCCGUGCACUGUGAGCCUAUAGGGCCAUGCACUGUGAGUCUAUAGGGCUAUGGGGCAAUGCUGUGAGCGAGGUGUGGGGCAGAAUAGGACUGCGGGAUCCCUGGAAGGAUUUUGCUGCCACGUGGCCUCCGUGCUGCCCUGGAUCCUCAGCUGCCGGCAGCUGCCAGCCCGGACCUAUUGGCCACCACAGCUGCCGUUCCCAAACCCCGUUUGACUUUCUGGCCCCAUAGAGCCGUCCCUGGGAAUACUCACAACAGCGCCGGGGGGGCCGGGAGCGCCUCUCUCUCCGGGUUUGCCGGGCUCACCCUGCGAGGAAGAGAGUGGGGUGAGGUGUGCGUCAAAACCACAGCGCCCCCAUACAUGGAUGGACCCCCCCAUACACAUAUAGGGACACCGCCCCUGAGCCCCCCCCACACACACACCGUGGGGCUCUGUGAGCCUGUGUGGGGCCACGUGCUGCCAACCUAUAGGGCUCCGCGAGAGCCUCGCGCCACACAUCUGACAUGAAGCCCCCCACGCAGCCCCCCCUCCUCCCACCCCCCACCCCCCUUUUUGAGCACCCCAUCCAUGUGCACUCACCGCAGCGCCUUUGGGACCGGGGAAACCCAUCACACC